CAGUCGCCACGGUAAUACGGAGGGUGCAAGCGUUAAUCGGAAUUACUGGGCGUAAAGCGCGCGUAGGCGGUUACUCAAGUCAGAGGUGAAAGCCCGGGGCUCAACCCCGGAACUGCCUUUGAAACUAGGUGACUAGAAUCUUGGAGAGGUCAGUGGAAUUCCGAGUGUAGAGGUGAAAUUCGUAGAUAUUCGGAAGAACACCAGUGGCGAAGGCGACUGACUGGACAAGUAUUGACGCUGAGGUGCGAAAGCGUGGGGAGCAAACAGGAUUAGAUACCCCCGUAGUCCCUGUCUCUUAUAC
rnacentral:rRNA from 1 species